UGACUCUGUUUCUCUUCAUUACGCACAAGCCUUUCGCCUUUUACUAAAGACCUUCCGUGGGGGAACACUUACGAGUUCAACGUAUUUUUGGAGCGGCUUUGCUUCUUGCAGAGCC
rnacentral:snRNA from 1 species